GCGUUUGACCUCAAAUCAGGUAGG
rnacentral:rRNA from 1 species